GACCAAGUCUGGAAGAAAACUUAGAUUCACCUGACGGAGGUGCUCGGUAAAGGCGUGGACAUGCACCUGGCUAAAACGUUAUCGUCUUAUUUGAGCCUGGUCGGAUAGAUUACAAGGAAAUAUGGCCGAUUCCAGAAGCAGCGAUGGAAGCAGUGGGUUACAAAUUAUAUGUAUGUAUACAUAUAUAUCUGUGUCAAGCUGACACAGAGUUUGAGGGGGCUGCUAGCUAUUGACAUGUAUCACAGGCCUUUCAUACCGGAGCCAAGCUGGCCAUAUUACCUGACUUAUGCGGGACCCUUACCAGAAUACCGUUCAACCUAUUCGUGGCAACACCGGAGUUAAGAGCACGAGGAUGUUACCACUGAUAAUCACCACUAGAUGGCUGCCAAUCCACCAGCACGCUGUGGAUGAUUUGCAGGUGCAUAGUUAGAAGUGUCAAGGAUUCGUGGAGUGUGUAAGAUGUAGCACGUGCCAGGCUGGGAGAUGUGUUAUCUGACGUAGUUAUCCUUCUGCCCUCAGGAUCAGCUCACUCUAACGGUUCGGAUCUUGACAAACUGGAAAGAUAAUUUGGGACGGCAUCUACUGAAGCCGUAACAUGGCUUUUGAGUUUCCAAUAAAAUGGAACAAGUGUUAUCCACUUUAACUGCCCACAGACUGUGAGCGGUACUGGCGUACAUAUAUAGCGAACAAGGCCGUUGAUCCACAGUAUAUGCUCAGUGACACAAGGAAUGAUAUAAGAAAACAAUUCUGCCUAAUGACCCAUGCUCAAUGCUCAGAAAUUAUGAGUGAUAUUGAGGAGCAUGACUGUUGGUCCACAUGAAACGCUCAGAGAUUGUGAUUGAUAUUGAGGAGCAUGACUGUUGGCCCACAUGAAAUGCUCAGAGAUUGUGAUUGAUAUUGAGGAGCAUGACUGUUGGUCCACAUGAAUUGCUCAGGGAUUGUGAGUGAUAUAUAGGCGCAUGACUGUUGGUCCACAUGAAAUGCUCAGAGAUUAUGUGAUAUUGAGGAGCAUGACUGUUGGUCCACAUUAAAUGUUCAGAAAUUGUGAGUGAUAUUGAGGAGCAAGACUGUUGAGCAUGAAAUGCUCAGAGAUUGUGAUUGAUAUUGAGGAGCAUGACUGUUGGUCCACAUGAAAUGCUCGGGGAUUGUGACUAAUAUUGAGGAGCAUGACUGUUGGUCCACAUGAAAUGCUCAGAGAUUGUGAUUGAUAUUGAGGAGCAUGACCGUUGGUCCACAUGAAUUGCUCAGGGAUUGUGAGUGAUAUAUAGGCGCAUGACUGUUGGUCCACAUGAAAUGCUCAGAGAUUAUGUGAUAUUGAGGAGCAUGACUGUUGGUCCACAUUAAAUGUUCAGAAAUUGUGAGCGAUAUUGAGGAGCAAGACUGUUGAGCAUGAAAUGCUCAGAGAUUGUGAUUGAUAUUGAGGAGCAUGACUGUUGGUCCACAUGAAUUGCUCAGGGAUUGUGAUUGAUAUUGAGGAGCAUGACUGUUGGUCCACAUGAAAUGCUCAGAGAUUGUGAGUGAUAUUAAAGAGAAUGACUGUUGGUCAACAUGAAAUGCCCAGAGAUUGUGAGCGAUAUUGAAGAGUAUGACUGUUGGUCCACAUGAAUUGCUCAGGGAUUGUGACUGAUAUUGAGGAGCAUGACUGUUGGUCCACAUGAAAUGCUCAGAGAUUGUGAGUGAUAUUGAGGAGCAUGACUGUUGAUCCACAUGAAAUCCUCAGAGAUUGUGUCAUGUUGAGGAACGAGUACGGCGUAAAAAACCAAUCAAGUAAUUAAAUAAAAAUAACUGAUUACUUUUUUUAAAAAAACUUACACGUAUUGGAACAGAGAUAUUGUGUAAUUGUGACUCUGACAUUGGUAUCGAAGUCAGGUAAAUCGAUUUAAUAAAAUUAAAUUUACAUUGGCCGUCAGUUAAGAGCAAUUUAGUGGAAUCGACCACAGAAGACUUCUCCCAUCUCAACCCUGUUCGUGACUUGAAGCAUCGAAUGAACAAAAAAUUGACUGCUUUGUUACCGGUGUGUUUUCAUUCGUGACACCUUCAGAUGGGAUUUCACCGAAUCCAUGCAUUCCAUUAUUAAACCUAUUGUUUUUCUACACUGAGUGCUGCCUGAAAAAUACUGCCCUCGGCAUUUCGCCGCUUUCAUUCACCUUAUAAUACAAAGCCAUAAGUACAUCUAUAAGUUGUUAACAUCAUUUUUUCGUCACGCAUCAGUGAACUGACAACAAUAGCGUUUUUAUGUCCAUUCUACCAUAUUUAACAUUCCUCUAUUAUGACAAGUAAUUGUGUCAACUGGAUGAGACCGAUAAGACGGCUGGGUAUCCGUAUACACGGCGUAGGACACACUUACAUGUACCUGACCAGCUCGUUUGACCGAUAACCUGCUCUCUCCUAAAACCAGUAGUGGGUUUCAACGACGAGACAUACAAUAUGACGUGCAGAAAUCUUACGUUACAAAAACCGUUUAUAAACCAUAUGUAUGUCUCGACAGGCAAACUGAAUCUUCUUUAGAUUUAUUUUUGACCAUCUGUUUACCAGCGAUUAGUUUUAAUGAGAAUCUCGCGGAAAUUUCCACAUUCAAUGGUUUUAUCUCUAUAAGCACAUGGCUCUGAUAAUAACUACAAAGUUACCAUAUAGCCAUAUUCAUUCAUUCAAGCCUCGGUAAGCUUCUCAAAAAGAAGCAGCCGGAAUUUUUUCACAAUAAGCGUCAAUGAUAUAAGUUUAAAAUAUACCUGCCCAUUUCUCCCCUACUCUCAGCUUCUACUCAGGAAGUUUCAAUGCGAAACAGACAGACACAAAAAUCAAUGACAAAAUGCGUACGAAAGAAAGCAUUUGAGAAACCAUAGAAGCAAUGAAUGAAAAUGAAAUAAUAUAUUUGGUUGGUUCCAUUGCCAUUGACAGUCGGGAAGCAUUUUUUCCCCAUUACUUUCGGAGUUGUCACAGAGAUCAUGGGCGGGCAAUGUACCGUUUUUUUAGACAGCAACAGUUAUCAUUAGGAUAGAUUCUUUAACUAAUGGCUCUCUUCAUUAAUGUCCUGUUUUGCUUUUUUUAGCCUUCGCCGCAAUAAUAACUGUGACGAACUCGCUAGCCAGCAGAGUGUGAAAAGCAGUUCUGUCAUGCUCACAGAGAAUGCUUUUGUAGAGCUCAUGGCAUUUCUUGUAUGUGGACCUUGUCACAAUUAGAGAUCUCCUCAGUGAAACAUGUAUGUAUAUAGAUGGCUACAGCCAUUAGAGGAACCAAGCCACGCACCUUACUGGACCAGCUUAAUAAUUUAAACUUUAACGGAUGACGUUGCAGAAUGUGAGAUCUGGCUAACGGCCAAAAUAGUUACAGCAGUUUAUUGUGGGUUACGUUACGCUUGGGGACAUAUCUACGUGUUCCUUGUACGGUCUUGAUGAGAGACACUGACCGGUUAUACAAAUACGUCCAAAAUCGCAGUAAAAACACCUCGUUUUCUGAUGUAACUCACCAGUGACUGCGUUCUGUAUACCGGUAAGUGUACGAUCGCAGAUACACCAAAAAGCUUCAAAGUAGACGAUUAAGCCUAAAUGGCUUUGGACCGAGCUUUGAACCGAUUCUUUAAAGCGGAAAGGAGUUUCAUCAGCCACAGUUACACAAUGUAGUCUGCAUAUAUCGGUUUACCAUGUGUACAGAGUGCCAUUUUAUUCAAGGUCUCUGUCGAUUCUUACACAAAUUGUGAAUUAAGUUUUCGUGAAUGACUUCGUAAAUUAAGACUCCUCGUAGCGUUUUAACAAAGGCAUUUUCAUGUCCAAAGAAAACGUUACAAGAAAAUCAAUUUUCAAAGUUUUAUGAAAGCUGACACUCAUCUCUGUCCAUGGAGCUGGGCUUGUACUAAAUUUAAUCUUUUAUAUCCUUGUAUCCGCACGUGUUCAUUCAAGAGAUUUUAAUAUAUAAAUGUCAAAUACAACCGAGCUGAAUAAGGAGCCCAGAUGUUGGAAAUGUUCAAUUAAAUGACAAUAAAGCUCAUCAGAUAGGUCAAUUUGAUGGCCUUUUGUCGCUGUCGUUGUCAAGAUGGCGAUAAAUCUGAUAAUACAUUUCCACACUUGAUCGCCUUAGGACGUGGGUGAAGGGGUUGUGUUGCAAAUCAGUAAGGACCGUUCUCGUAACAGCCGAGACAUACAAACGUGUGUCCUAUACGACAUUAAACGCUGCCGAGUUAUAAGACAAUUAAUAAGUCAUUUAAUGUGUAGCCUAACAAUUAAUUAACCAUUUAUUUCUCGUCGGUGUCAAGAUAUGAUGAAUUUGUCUACUCUCCCAAAUGAGUCUCUGUAUUAGGCUGUAAGUACACACUAUGGUUUAAACACAGUUGUUUUAACGUCCAACUUACCUCUACACCAUUGAGAACUGUCUUACUACUCGUCAUAUAUUUUCUUGUAUAUAAGAAGAUGCAUUAGUAUAAUCCAGUUUUUUUUCAUCCAGUGUCAGAUUAAAUAUAUUAAUAUUUGGUAAGACUUCCAAGCAACUUCCAAACCAAAACCAAUUAAUCAAUUUUUUCCCAAAUGCAAAGUGUAUUUACUUUCAGUUGUAAUUAUUCCUAGCUAUUUGGCUGGAUCGUGGUGUUUCGUGCCGUACUCAUGAAUAUUUCACAUAUACCACUACGGCCACCUUUAUCAAGGACGGAACCCGGUCAGAACCUGAAAGAAAGUCACCACCAUCCGCAAGUUGUCGCAAGACAGUCCCACGUAUACGACCGGAGGGGAAGCCAGCAUGAAAACCUUGUUUUAAGAGUUCCACAGACGGAGUUCUUGUACAAUAGUAGCUCAGACUUAACAAAAAGAUAUGGGCCAACAUUCACAACUUUUGUAAAUCAAUUUUUGGAUGAAUUUCGUAUUGUAAAUUUCACCAUGUGGGCAACAUCAUUUCAUCAAAAUGUUAGAUGAAAAAUUGAUAAAAAGUGUGGAGAAAAUUCCUGGCAGUUGCCGAGAGCAGGUCCCUCCUGCGCAUUGUUGACGGUCGAGUGAGUGUGUAAGUGUGCCAAUACUGCUUACAUGUAUACUCUCACGAACAUCCGCCUUAGUGAUGCAUGCAGAGGUGGAUCGGUGAUGGUGUGGGGAUGUUUGCCCUAUGACAGGGAUCGUUACAUGCAGGAGGUACUUCAUCCAGUCCUUGUUCCUCAAUUUGACAAGGAUCCAUUUGCAAACAGGCCAGUAUUCGUGGACGAUAAUUCUCGGCCUCAUCGUUCACGGGCUUUGACCCAAUUUUUGGACUACAAUGCCAUUACGCAACUUCCAUUUCCAGCAAUGAGCCCUGAUCUCAACUCUCUUGGGUCGACAAAUCUCUUGAGCACAUAUGGGUCGACAACUGCAGAGUAGGCAACCUCCUUCACAGAACCUUAGAGAUCUGGAAGCAGUUCUAAAUGAAGAGUGGCAGCUGUUGCCCACGGAACGGUUUCUGUAUGACGCUGUUCAGCAUACUUUUUACUUUUUACGCCAUUAAAAUUCCCGCUGGAGCUAUGAUUAAAAGAACAUUUUUUCAUUCAAUUUGGACACAAUUCUGGAUGGUCCAAUUUGGACACAUUUCUGGAUGGUCCAAUUUGGACAUAUCGUUCAAUUGGUCACAUGGUAACAAUUUGAGUUUACUGCAUAGAUAAAUGGGUGGUGCUUUUUAUGGCUGUGCAGUUUACUACCUUGUUCUGCAGUAAGGAAAGUGAAUUACACCUUGUUCAAAAAGGCAGGGUGGUACCUAUUUUUUUUACUGUGUAUAUUGAAUUGACGAGUUGUUUGUUAUAUAUAUAUUACAAUUGUGAUGCUCUUCUGUUAACAUAUUCCAUUGUUAAUUUUAUCACGAGAUAAUUAAAAGGGCCAUCUUUUUUAGGUAGCUCUGUGUAAUUAUAUUUGCUUAUUUAUCUUUGCUGUGGUUAAGACAGAAAUAGAUGACAGCCUCCGUAUUCCACUCACAACAAUAGGGCGCCUGUUUGAGAAGUUCUUAUAAAUGUACAUCUUACGCAAUAUCUCUGUUCUAACUUGCCGUUAGCCCUGUAUAUCCACUCAAAAUGAAGCCAACGAUGGAGAAUCAAAAGAGACAACCUCACACACAGACAUGCGAACAAACUGACCACAAAGGAAAUACUUUAAUUGAACUUCACCCUUGUUGAUAAAAACCGCCAUCAAAGAAUGAAUCGUAGCUAGCCUCAGCAUAUAUAUAUUACACAGCGUUUAGACAAAGGUGGUGUUUGGUGGUUGGUGGGGAGGGGGUGUUGGUACCGGAGAUGUUAGAAGAGAAAACCUAAUGUCUGACUGAUCGAUUGACUGUUUGCUGUUUAACGCCCACCUCAAUAAUUUUUCACUCAUGCAUACA